UACAGAGGUCUCAAGCGUUGUUCGGAAUCACUGGGCGUAAAGGGCGCGUAGGCAGGAUGGCAAGUCGGUCGUGAAAUCUCUCGGCUCAACCGAGAAACGUCGGCCGAUACUGCCGUUCUUGAGGGAUGCAGAGGAGACUGGAAUUCCCGGUGUAGCGGUGAAAUGCGCAGAUAUCGGGAGGAACACCCGUAGCGAAGGCGGCACUCUGGGCCGUGACUGACGCUGAGGAGCGAAAGCGUGGGGAGCAAACAGG
rnacentral:rRNA from 1 species